GGGGGUGCGUGGCUUCGAUUUCGUGGACCUGAGCGGGGGAAGCGAGCCGACGUCGCCGGAUCGUCGCGAAAGAGCCGGCAAACACAAAUAAUUGCCGAGGACAAUCACCUCGCACUCGCCGCCUAGAAAUAGGCGACGCGUCCGCCCGAGCCCUGCCACUCGGCCGGUAGCGGGCGUCAUCAAGAGUGGCUCACCGACGGGUUAGGCCUCACGGCCCGUCGGGACAUCACAGUGAGGCUGGGACCGCCGCAGGCCGCCAGUGAGCGGCGGUGGUCCGAGACCUACUCACCGGCUGCGCUCGGAGAAGACCCGCAACGGACUCGGAAGACCCGGGUUCGACUCCCGGCACCUCCACCA
rnacentral:tmRNA from 1 species